rnacentral:tmRNA from 1 species
GGGGCUGAUUCUGGAUUCGACGGGAUUUGCGAAACCCAAGGUGCAUGCCGAGGGGCGGUUGGCCUCGUAAAAAGCCGCAAAAAAUAGUUGCAAACGACGAAAACUACGCUUUAGCAGCUUAAUAACCUGCUUAGAGCCCUCUCUCCCUAGCCUCCGCUCUUAGGACGGGGAUCAAGAGAGGUCAAACCCAAAAGAGAUCGCGUGGAAGCCCUGCCUGGGGUUGAAGCGUUAAAACUUAAUCAGGCUAGUUUGUUAGUGGCGUGUCCGUCCGCAGCUGGCAAGCGAAUGUAAAGACUGACUAAGCAUGUAGUACCGAGGAUGUAGGAAUUUCGGACGCGGGUUCAACUCCCGCCAGCUCCACCA